rnacentral:pre_miRNA from 1 species
AAUAACUCAUCAAGAUCUAAAACUUUUAUUUUGGUCAUUUCUUCAUACGACAAAAUGAUAGUAACAUUGUUCACAAAAUUGACAUAUCUCUUAUCUGGUUUAUAAACACUAUAACACAUAUACGUAAAUUUUGUGAAUAAUGUUACUAACAUUUUGUUGGAUGAAGAAAUAACAAAAAUAAAAGUUUUAGAUCUUGAUGAGUUAUU